UCUGAUUUAGCGUAGGUUACCUUGCCCUGAUGAAUUGUGGGCAAUAAAGUAUGCGAGUUUCCUUUUCUUCCCACAGAAGUCUUUUGACUGCUAUUCUUUGACUUUAACUUUGAAAACUGUGCGUCAUUUGCUUAUUAUUAGGAUGUAAUGGUGUAGAAAACUCCAUCUGUGAAAAACUAUAAUUUGAGGAACAUAAUGGCAGUAGAAAACAUGCAGGGGCUUGAAUCAAAGGCUGAAUGACGCCGGCUGCAGUGCAAGAAAAUGCUGUGAGAGAAUGAGCAGGUGUGGUGGAAAGACCCAUGGGCUUCAGGGAGAGAAUAGAUCAAUAACUAAUUUCAGUACCAAGCUUCACUCGCACUGUUUUCCAAUAAAUGCUGGAUGGAGAGUACAGGCUUAGCCCCCUCACCCCACUAUCUCGAUUCUAUCACCUUCUUCAAGCUGGCGUGGAGACGUGGCAACUGGCUGUUUUUUUUUUGUUGUUUUUUUUAUUAAAACAGAUUUGUAAUUGUUGAUUGACUGUAUUAUGUUUCUACAGCUUGUAUAAUGCAUAGACUGUUGUCCAGCUAUUUCCAUGUGUUCUGCACUUAUGCCAUCUCUGUAUCUUUAAAGUAUAUAGGGUUUUUUUUCUUCUCUUCCACUAUCCUGCUUCCUUCACCCCCUCCCAUCCUCGAAUGAGGGCCGGUGUUGAGGUUUUGUCAAGAGUAUGUAGGGAGAUUGAGGCAGACAGGAGAGUGAAGCGUGUGUCAUGCAGGGCUGCUGCUGCUGCUGCUGAGGCUCUUCUCCUCAGAGGCUGUGACCUAGAUAACCAAGAGGAGCUGGAGCGACUGCAAGCCUUGGAGCCACUCCAGCCUCAGCAAUGUCAGGAAGGGAGAGGAGAUGUGCAUAAAAGGACCUGAAAAAAGGAGAGAAGAGGAGGAAAGGAAGCAUCCAGAAAAAGACAUCUACUUAUGCAAGAUGGCAGCAUGCAUCUCUUCCAGAUUUGCAGUUUUGGAGUUAUUAUCUUGCUCAUACCAGGUCUGGUUUAACAUGGAUUUCACAGCACCAAUGUUUUUAUUACCAAUCUUCAACUCGUCCCCGAGUACCGUAGUCUACACACCCCACUCAGCCGGGCGGCAGAAAGGAGGAGGAUGUACAGUAGAGGGGUACGGGCUAAGCAGAAGUCAGAGACUUUCGGACUGCAAUGUCAUCAUUUUCACAGAGACAUGACUCAACAGCGGAGUACCAGACAAUGCUAUUGAACUAGCCGCGACUGCCACACACUUCGGGCCGAUAAACACAGCACUGUGUCAUCAUGUCAACUGCUUUCUGCAUCACUAAAUAAAUAAAAAUAAAGGUAUUGUUGUUGCACAACCACCAUGUUUAUUUGUUUAUCCAAGUGUUUUAGCAGAAGUGGAAAAAGUCGCAAAUGAGAUGUGUUUAUUUGUAGGGAUUGCA